CGGUGAAAAUAAAAAAUACUAUUUAGUAUGGCAUUUAAUAUGUCCUUGAUAUUUUUCAUAUUUAUCCUUUAUAAUGUAUAUAAUUUUAUACAUUAUAAUGCAUAUCAGUGAUUAAUAUUUCACUAGUCAUAUACGUUUCCGGCACCUAUUCUUGGGACUUAAGAAGAUUCAUCAUGGUUUUCAAUCCACAUUAGAAAGCAAGUAACGACGCGUUUCCUGAGGGAUAUCUAGUUCCACGUUCGUCAAAACGUUUUAAAACAUCCAUACUUCUGAUCUUUUUCCGGAUUGCGUGCUCUAUGGCCUUCAGGGAAGUUGCCGCAAAACAGUUUUUGCGCAAUACGCAGAAAUCAGAGCAAAUCAAAGACAGUAUUGUGAACAGCAAGGAGCGGUUUUCAUGGAACGGCAGCAAGAAAUAUCGGUGACAUGGGAGACACAGAAACCGCAAAAAUUCACUCGUAGGACCAACCAAGCUAACAAUGGAAAGCAAAGUUAACUUAUUGGGAGCUUAAUACAAGAUUUACAUAUGAUUAACAUAAAAAUAAAUUAACAACAUGAAAAAAAUCAUUUUCUUUCAUUUUUCUUUACUUUUGUUUACAGCAAUUCAAUAACAAUGGCUAAUUGUAUUCAAUGUGCAGAAUUUUAGAACUUUAAGCAUUGAGUGAAUAAUUUCCAAAAAAUCAUUUGCUGAUAUAAAAUACGUUUAUACUAGGCUAAGCUUAAUACGUUAAAAUGCAUCACAAUGAGUGAAUAGACGGAAUAUGGUUUUAGAAUGGUAUUUAACUUAUCUAGUAUUCUAUUUUCUUAGCG